UUUCUAUCAUGUAAUACGUGGUAUUGAUUAAUGGCCUAGAAUGCAGUAAUCGCUUCUAACGAGUUCCGCCGCGGGAAUUAGCUGGAUCUGCAAUAUAAUGAUUUGCUGAAUAAUUUCGCCUGUGAAAAUCAUCCUGUCAAUAAUUUUUGAACGAGUAAUACGCAAAGAUACAAGAGAAAAAACAGAGGCGAAAGCUGUUCCAAUACUUCAGAAUUAUUGCAAACAAUCAGAAUUGUCUACUAGUUGUCUUUACUUCCAAAGAAGUUCCUGUUCUGUACAUCCGACAAAACGUCCUAUAUGGAUAGUAAGAAUGUUUGACCAUCAAUCAGAUUAGAAAACGAAAACGUUUUUCACUUUAAUCUUAUAUUUAAAUGGUACAUCAAUCAGUGCUGUGUUUAUUGAAUGAUUUUAUGAUGGCGGCGAGAGUAUUUUUUAUUGAUGAGUGGGAUAUUAGGUCUCUAGCUAUCCUAAAGAUAUGGGAAGCAAGAUGCUCCAUGAAGGAGAGGAGUUGAAUAAGAAUAUAUGAAUAAAAAUUUCAAUAUUUUUUCAAAGAAUUUUGCGUUACUUAAUAUUCGUCAUUUAAUGUGUCAAAUCGUAAAAUCGGCGGAGGAAGCUGAUGCUGCUCACGAAUUUAUUACAAAUCUUCCAAAUGAUAUGAAGCUGGUGAGAGAGGCACCUUACUAUCUGGUGUAUGAAAACAACAUGUUUUUAUUGCUAGAACAUUACUAUGGCAACCAUCUACUACAAUAUUGAAUUUUAAUAAAGGAGCGCAUUGGAUUGUGAAUGCAGAAGAGUGGUUUACAAAGCAGUUGGAAAUUCUAACCAAGGCAGAAACAUCGUUAGCUAUUGUUCAUGUAUGCAAUAUGUGAUUGGGAAUACGUAGGAAGAAGAAAAGGAAGAAAAAACAUUUGUGCUUGACGACGAAAUUUGGAAAAGUCAAUAUGGUGCUGUCUUAUAAAGCGUGGGACGGUGAUACGAGGAGGUGGGAGGGAUUUACUUCAUUCAAAGGUUCCAACCGCGAGCGGCUUUAGCUGGAGUGUCUAUGCGAUUCUACUGAGAAUGAUUUGUCGAAGGGCCGUUCGACGUUGCAUGCAUUAGAAGAGUCAAAUGGAACAAAUACAUUUAUAAGAGAAUAUUUUCAAAGAAUCCUACGUCAAAAACAUAUUCAUCAUCUAUUAUGGAAUGUCAAGCAAUUGACUUUCGAAGUUGUUCACCAGUGUUAUCAUCUAAAAAGGUUGUUAUUUAAUAUUUUUAGUUCCUUGUUACAGUUUUUAGGCAAUGACAUGCCGCUUUAUAUUAUAGCUCGAAUUUAAAAAAAGGAAGAAAAGAAAAAUACAUAUCCAUAUAUCUUAUGUGCGGACACUGAAUUAUAUAAUAUCGAUCGGCGGUAUUUUACUAUGUACAAUUACCGACGGUUUCCAAAACAUAUUUGGUAUUUCUAAGCUGUAGUAAUAAUCAACGUGCUGGGUUCGAAAGGAAGGCAUUUCCUUUUCAAACGUGAUCCGCAUAAUUAUGUUCCAUAGCGUCUUCAUUACGUGGUUGCAAUUAACAAGGAAGAAGAGGACGAAGAGGAGGAAGAGGACAAACAUUUAUAAUGGUGUUCACGACGAUCCUCAUGGUAUUGCCUCAAGGUAAUCCUCAAUUAAAAUAGUGCUGUAUUACAAAGCUUCAUUCAUAUGGUGGUACGAGGAUACGGAAUAUACGUUAUUGAAAGGAUUCAAAGUAAGUGGCUUUAGAUAGAGGAUAUAAUGGAGUGUUAUGGGAAAGAUUCAUCGUAGGGUUGUUUGUCGUUGCAAAGGGAAUCUGGAUUCAAAUGGAACUGAAAUGGUAUUCAGGCAGCUUUAUCAUUGAAAAUGAUCAAAGCUGCAUAUACGAUCAAAGUAUUCAUUGUUCUUCGGGAUAAUAACGUUAGCCUGGACACGCUUUUAAAUUAUGCGUUAAUAUGUAGUGUACGUUUAUCUCACCGUGUCAUCGUUAUACCGUCAGUUUAUAUUAUUAUUCAAUAUAAUUAAAAAGAGAAGAAGUGUUUGGUUCAAUGUUCCAAAUUAUUUGUCAGAAUAUUCACGUUAUGUACUUAAAAAUAAUGUAUAAUGUACGUUUUUCAGAAAUAUAGGUAUUUGGACGAACUAAAUUAUUACGUAGCGCAAAUAUCUUACGAUUGAGAUUUAAUGAAAAUGCAUGCAUACGUUACGUUCUUCCAUACGUAUCGUCGUGUACGUUCGUGUUAAACAAUUUGUUAUUAUCUUUCUCCACACACUUACGCUCUUAUAUUCUCUCAUCCGCGCUAGGGCAUGUAAGCGGGAAUAUGUCCGCGGUUCUGUGGGUGUGCGUGCGUAUAUCUCCUCGCUUAUUUUGACGAAAGGUAUUUUUUCAAAAGAAGAAAGAUAUUUUGUCGUUCGUUCUCCUGUCAUUAAACUAAGCAGGCAAUGCGAUAAUACGAUUAGCAGUGUAUUUCAAUUAGCUAUUUAGCUGCAUUAAUUAAUUAGCAGAUCGAUGUACCACAACUAAUUUAGUUCUUUCAUACGAAGGAAUACUUUUUCCGAAAAAUUAAUUCCCGAUAGGAAAAUUUCAAAGAACGAUCCACUUAUACUGCCAAUUAUCUAAUAUAUCAUAUAUUCCAAACUAAUUAGUUCCUCGGAAAAUGUUAUCUUAAUCGAUUCGUUUAUUUCUCAUUACGUAUAACCCAGUAUAGCAACGACAUACUUAUAUAUCUAGUAACAUAAUAUUUCUAAUUUAUUCAGCAUUUUCCUAAUGUUUUACUCGGAUGAUUAAAUAUCUCGAUAAGCGUACAUAUAAUAAACAUUUACAUAAUAUUUCCCUAACAUAGUAAAGAUCUAUUAUACUUCUUUCUAGCCAUCGUUAUUCGGUCAACCGAUUUACAUCGCACAAAUCAUCAGUUAUAAAUAUUGUAGGAAGAGAUUUUCCCAGAGAUUACUAUUCCUUUUAAAUACAAUAUUCUGAAUUCUACUUUCUUGGUAAUGUCAACAUUCUCUUCGCACAAAAUAAAUAAAUAUGAAUAAUUAAAUGCCAAAAAAAUUUUCCUCAUCGGAAAGUGGAUAAACGCAAUUCGAUUUUUACAUCGUGAAAUGAUCGAAAAGAUAUGAGUAUGGAGAAUCACAUGGGGAAUCAAAUGGAGAAAAAAGAAUCAAGAAGAAAAAACAGAGAUAAAAGCAAACAGAAAUCUUCCUUUUACGCUAAUAUCGAUCCAGAACUGUUGGUAACAUUGUGAAGAGAUAAUUGGGGAUCGUGAAAAUAUGAAAAAGAGGGGAUUAAACGAAACAGCGCAUGCUCGAGUCAAUAUAAAAGAUGUUAGGAGCUGUCCGCGGAAGUUGAAUAAACUAUUUAUUCUGUUUCGAAUCAUCCUACAAGCAUCUUCCUGGAGGUUUCAAGAGAGGGACGAAUUAGAAUAAUAUGUAAGUUCCUGUCCAUCGCGAUAAUGUUACUUAUCUGGAAGAUUAUAAAAAACGCGCUAUCGGUUAGUGAAAUCCUAUUUGAAUUUUAUGCUACUUGAUAUUAACGCAUUAUACUAUAUUUUAUACAAUUUUGUGUUCAAUACUACGAUAUACCGUUUUAUAAUAUACUAUAGAAAGUUGUAUAGUUUAUCAUUUUCUUGCACUAUAUAUUAUAUCUAGUAAUUUGUCUUGGGUAUAUUAUUGUAUAAUAUUAACCAGAGGAAAUAUUAUAAUUUGCGUUAUUUGAACUAAAGCUUAGUGAAUUGUUUGGAAUAAUAUAAAUAUCCCUUGGAAUGUUAAUAUUUGAGUCUCCUUUUCUAAUUAUCGGCUUGUAAAACUGUGUUUCGAUCUAUCAAUCGUAAUGCGUUAUUAAGUACUAUUUGUUUUCUUACAGAUAGUCCUGCAAGGCGUAAUUAUUAAUCGAGUUAAAACUAUUUGUGCUAGUACUUGGUAAGUUCAUUACAUUCUGUUAAAAAUUAGUUUAUAUAUUUUCUCUUUUCUUUUGAAUGAAAUUUAUGAAUGAAAUUUUCUCUAUUCUUUUCAGAUGGUAGACUGAUUCGAUAUAUACGUAAAUACAUGCAUAUAUAUACACACAUAUAUAUAUAUUUCACCGCACUGUGUACUUUGUAUGUACUAAAGUCUAAUGUUCAUGUUUAUAUUUAUUUAUAUAUUUGCCUAUAAACUGAUAUACUCUUUAUAUAUUUCUGAGAAUCAUAUGGAUAUAGAUAAAUGUAUAAAUAAAUAAGCUCAUAAUUUGCCUUCAAUACGUAUAACAUAAGCAGUGCGUUGUAAAAUAUAUAUACAUAUAUGUAUGUAUAUAUAUAUAGACGUAUGUGUAUACAUAUAUGUCAUACGAAUAUCAGUAAACCACGGAUGUAAAAUUAAAAAGAAAAUUGAAAAAUAAGUCAAAAUAAAAAAUGAAGUUAAUAUUAAAGAAAAAAAGAGACAUCGAGAAAAGAAGCAAGCUUAUAUGUAUUAGAAAACUCUGAAGUGUGUUUAACAGAAUAAAAUAUCAAGAGGAUAGAAAUAUACACGUCCAGGAGAGUCGAGCACAUAAUUCAAGGAACCAUUAAAGAGGAAUAUUAAUGGCUACGACGAGUAUAUUCUAUUCCUGGCAAUCUGCUGAACAAAUACAUUUAUAAGAGAAUAUUUUCAAAGAAUCCUACGUCAAAAACAUAUUCAUCAUCUAUUAUGGAAUGUCAAGCAAUUGACUUUCGAAGUUGUUCACCAGUGUUAUCAUCUAAAAAGGUUGUUAUUUAAUAUUUUUAGUUCCUUGUUACAGUUUUUAGGCAAUGACAUGCCGCUUUAUAUUAUAGCUCGAAUUUAAAAAAAGGAAGAAAAGAAAAAUACAUAUCCAUAUAUCUUAUGUGCGGACACUGAAUUAUAUAAUAUCGAUCGGCGGUAUUUUACUAUGUACAAUUACCGACGGUUUCCAAAACAUAUUUGGUAUUUCUAAGCUGUAGUAAUAAUCAACGUGCUGGGUUCGAAAGGAAGGCAUUUCCUUUUCAAACGUGAUCCGCAUAAUUAUGUUCCAUAGCGUCUUCAUUACGUGGUUGCAAUUAACAAGGAAGAAGAGGACGAAGAGGAGGAAGAGGACAAACAUUUAUAAUGGUGUUCACGACGAUCCUCAUGGUAUUGCCUCAAGGUAAUCGUCAAUUAAAAUAGCGCUGUAUUACAAAGCUUCAUUCAUAUGGUGAUACGAGGAUACGGAAUAUACGUUAUUGAAAGGAUUCAAAGUAAGUGGCUUUAGAUAGAGGAUAUAAUGGAGUGUUAUGGGAAAGAUUCAUCGUAGGGUUGUUUGUCGUUGCAAAGGGAAUCUGGAUUCAAAUGGAACUGAAAUGGUAUUCAGGCAGCUUUAUCAUUGAAAAUGAUCAAAGCUGCAUAUACGAUCAAAGUAUUCAUUGUUCUUCGGGAUAAUAACGUUAGCCUGGACACGCUUUUAAAUUAUGCGUUAAUAUGUAGUGUACGUUUAUCUCACCGUGUCAUCGUUAUACCGUCAGUUUAUAUUAUUAUUCAAUAUAAUUAAAAAGAGAAGAAGUGUUUGGUUCAAUGUUCCAAAUUAUUUGUCAGAAUAUUCACGUUAUGUACUUAAAAAUAAUGUAUAAUGUACGUUUUUCAGAAAUAUAGGUAUUUGGACGAACUAAAUUAUUACGUAGCGCAAAUAUCUUACGAUUGAGAUUUAAUGAAAAUGCAUGCAUACGUUACGUUCUUCCAUACGUAUCGUCGUGUACGUUCGUGUUAAACAAUUUGUUAUUAUCUUUCUCCACACACUUACGCUCUUAUAUUCUCUCAUCCGCGCUAGGGCAUGUAAGCGGGAAUAUGUCCGCGGUUCUGUGGGUGUGCGUGCGUAUAUCUCCUCGCUUAUUUUGACGAAAGGUAUUUUUUCAAAAGAAGAAAGAUAUUUUGUCGUUCGUUCUCCUGUCAUUAAACUAAGCAGGCAAUGCGAUAAUACGAUUAGCAGUGUAUUUCAAUUAGCUAUUUAGCUGCAUUAAUUAAUUAGCAGAUCGAUGUACCACAACUAAUUUAGUUCUUUCAUACGAAGGAAUACUUUUUCCGAAAAAUUAAUUCCCGAUAGGAAAAUUUCAAAGAACGAUCCACUUAUACUGCCAAUUAUCUAAUAUAUCAUAUAUUCCAAACUAAUUAGUUCCUCGGAAAAUGUUAUCUUAAUCGAUUCGUUUAUUUCUCAUUACGUAUAACCCAGUAUAGCAACGACAUACUUAUAUAUCUAGUAACAUAAUAUUUCUAAUUUAUUCAGCAUUUUCCUAAUGUUUUACUCGGAUGAUUAAAUAUCUCGAUAAGCGUACAUAUAAUAAACAUUUACAUAAUAUUUCCCUAACAUAGUAAAGAUCUAUUAUACUUCUUUCUAGCCAUCGUUAUUCGGUCAACCGAUUUACAUCGCACAAAUCAUCAGUUAUAAAUAUUGUAGGAAGAGAUUUUCCCAGAGAUUACUAUUCCUUUUAAAUACAAUAUUCUGAAUUCUACUUUCUUGGUAAUGUCAACAUUCUCUUCGCACAAAAUAAAUAAAUAUGAAUAAUUAAAUGCCAAAAAAAUUUUCCUCAUCGGAAAGUGGAUAAACGCAAUUCGAUUUUUACAUCGUGAAAUGAUCGAAAAGAUAUGAGUAUGGAGAAUCACAUGGGGAAUCAAAUGGAGAAAAAAGAAUCAAGAAGAAAAAACAGAGAUAAAAGCAAACAGAAAUCUUCCUUUUACGCUAAUAUCGAUCCAGAACUGUUGGUAACAUUGUGAAGAGAUAAUUGGGGAUCGUGAAAAUAUGAAAAAGAGGGGAUUAAACGAAACAGCGCAUGCUCGAGUCAAUAUAAAAGAUGUUAGGAGCUGUCCGCGGAAGUUGAAUAAACUAUUUAUUCUGUUUCGAAUCGUCCUACAAGCAACUUCCUUGAGGUUUCAAGAGAGGGACGAAUUAGAAUAAUAUGUAAGUUCCUGUCCAUCGCGAUAAUGUUACUUAUCUGGAAGAUUAUAAAAAACGCGCUAUCGGUUAGUGAAAUCCUAUUUGAAUUUUAUGCUACUUGAUAUUAACGCAUUAUACUAUAUUUUAUACAAUUUUGUGUUCAAUACUACGAUAUACCGUUUUAUAAUAUACUAUAGAAAGUUGUAUAGUUUAUCAUUUUCUUGCACUAUAUAUUAUAUCUAGUAAUUUGUCUUGGGUAUAUUAUUGUAUAAUAUUAACCAGAGGAAAUAUUAUAAUUUGCGUUAUUUGAACUAAAGCUUAGUGAAUUGUUUGGAAUAAUAUAAAUAUCCCUUGGAAUGUUAAUAUUUGAGUCUCCUUUUCUAAUUAUCGGCUUGUAAAACUGUGUUUCGAUCUAUCAAUCGUAAUGCGUUAUUAAGUACUAUUUGUUUUCUUACAGAUAGUCCUGCAAGGCGUAAUUAUUAAUCGAGUUAAAACUAUUUGUGCUAGUACUUGGUAAGUUCAUUACAUUCUGUUAAAAAUUAGUUUAUAUAUUUUCUCUUUUCUUUUGAAUGAAAUUUAUGAAUGAAAUUUUCUCUAUUCUUUUCAGAUGGUAGACUGAUUCGAUAUAUACGUAAAUACAUGCAUAUAUAUACACACAUAUAUAUAUAUUUCACCGCACUGUGUACUUUGUAUGUACUAAAGUCUAAUGUUCAUGUUUAUAUUUAUUUAUAUAUUUGCCUAUAAACUGAUAUACUCUUUAUAUAUUUCUGAGAAUCAUAUGGAUAUAGAUAAAUGUAUAAAUAAAUAAGCUCAUAAUUUGCCUUCAAUACGUAUAACAUAAGCAGUGCGUUGUAAAAUAUAUAUACAUAUAUGUAUGUAUAUAUAUAUAGACGUAUGUGUAUACAUAUAUGUCAUACGAAUAUCAGUAAACCACGGAUGUAAAAUUAAAAAGAAAAUUGAAAAAUAAGUCAAAAUAAAAAAUGAAGUUAAUAUUAAAGAAAAAAAGAGACAUCGAGAAAAGAAGCAAGCUUAUAUGUAUUAGAAAACUCUGAAGUGUGUUUAACAGAAUAAAAUAUCAAGAGGAUAGAAAUAUACACGUCCAGGAGAGUCGAGCACAUAAUUCAAGGAACCAUUAAAGAGGAAUAUUAAUGGCUACGACGAGUAUAUUCUAUUCCUGGCAAUCUGCUGUAAGUAAUUCUUCAUUUUCUUGAUUAGCGGCGAGUAAUAAUUAUAAUAGAAAUAUUUGUGAAAAUUCUGCUUUAAAUUUCUAAUUUGAUCGUAUCAUAUUCUUAUUGCUUUGGAGACAAUGGCCAUAGAAAUUGGUUUCCCAUAUUAAGUUGCAUAAAACCAAAGAACUGUAACACUUCUGAUCCUGAUGAUAUAGACGUCCGUGUAUUAUAAAGGAAACUUUUUUAUAUAAUUAUAAUUAUAUUAUAUUUUAUUUUAUAUAAUUUUCUACUAAUAGAAACAAAAAGCAAUGAAGUGUGUAAAAGAAGAAAGCUUGUCAUAAAUAUCUAAUCUAUAUAUCAAUCUAUCGUAAUCAUUGAAAUGCAUUAAAAGAUGUUGAUCCUCAAUCUUGUAGGCAUCUAUGCAAAUUCUCGGAAGACUCAAAUGAAAAACAAUAUGCAAUCAACUUAAAAAUGACUACCGAAGAUAGCUCUAUGUCCCUCUAUUAAUAAUUACGUCUUUUGCAACUGACUGUAUAAAAAAAUAACCCUCGACCAAACAUUCAGGUUGAUAGGUCGAAACAAAAUAUUCAAAUAUGAGAGCAUCUUGUUUAAAUUGAUAUGUAUGAUACACAAUCGAUUAUCGCGACUGAUUGGUGGCUUAUAUAUUAUUUUGGAUUUUCUUUCAUUUGAGUCUUCCGAGAAUUUGCAUUGAAGCCUACAAGAUUGAGGAUCAACAUCUUGUAAUGCAUUCCAAUAGAUACGAUAGAUUAAUAUAUAGAUAGAUUUAACGCGAUAGAUUGAAAUAUUUAAUAAAUUUAUUUCUACUAUUUUUCCUACUCAUUUUUUCUACUCUUUUUAUUAUUAAUUCGAAACUAUCGUAGAGGAUAAUUCUUUUUUUAAUUUUCAUUCAUGCGUUUCUUUUUGAUUAUUUCUCUGCCUUUGUAUCCUCCUAUGAAUCAUUCUGCAUAUUCAUAUCCUUUCGAUCAUUUUACUUUGUAAAUAUCUAAUUUUGUUUAUCCCGUUUUGGGGCAGUGACCUUUUUGUGGUAUUUGGUUAUUCAAAUUUAUUUAUUUUUCGUAAAGAGAAUAUUGACAUUACCAAGAAAGUAGAAUCAGAAAAUUCUAUUCAGAAGGAAAGAUUAUUUCAUGGAAAGGCUAUCUUCCUAAAACAUUUAUAAUUUAUACUUUUAUAUUUUAUGAAGAAGAAGUACGUUCACAACGGUCUGGAUGCUUAUCUAGCCUGCUUAAAGAGAGCGAUGAAUUUUUUAGCGAUUGUUUGUAAUAGUACAUGAGUAUGCCUCGUACGAUAUAGUGAUAUUUGAUGAAGUAAACGAGUAUUCAUAAAACAGGAGGGAAAGAGAUUUUCAAAGCUGAGCUCACUUCGUAUUGAAACUUCGAGUAGUAUAAAUAGAUCCCUCGACUAAUUAGUCAGGAAACCAGGAAAGUAUUAUAUUAUUGUUAUGUAUCAUUCCGUGAUGUCGUAAUAUACAAUUUGAGACUACCAAUCCAUUUACUUACUUAUUUCUUUUUCAUUAAGAGAAUCGCAAAAUUUCCAAACACGAGUGAGUUUCGUGCUAUAAGUAAUACCGAAGAGGAAUUCCAUUUACACGGUGAGAAAAAAAUGAAUAUUAAUUCGGAAGAAAACGAUAGAAGUGAUAGUGAUGACAUCCAACAAGAAAACGGAGAGAUCUCAUACAUAACGCGAGGGAUGAUAAUGUUGGAAAAGAAUCGUGAAAAAUUAUAAAGGACAAAAUUUUGCUCUUUUUUGCAAAAAUAUAUGAUCCUUCACGUCUACAAAUUUCCCUGUUAACGAGUAUUGAUCGGAAUUUAACGAUCUGUGCGUACGCAAAACCUUCCCGCGUACCUAUCGUCAAGCACCAUGAUAUUAAACGAUGCAUUGUUGUUCCUCUCCGUGCGCGCUUUUCAAGUGCAGCUCGAAUGGACGGGAAUAAGUGGGCGUUUCUGCGUACAUCACUUCUCUUAUUUUAAAAACAAGAAAGGUAUUUUUUCAUGAGUUUCCCUCUCAUCAAACGAAGCAGACAAUUCGAUAAUAAGAUUAGCUGUAUAAUUCAAUUAUCCAUUUAGCUAUAUCAUGCAGUUACCUGGAUAAUUUGGACGUCAAUGUACCACGACUGAUUUAAUUUUUCUAUAUGAACCGAAACACUUUCCUAGAAAUUUACUCCCUAUUAAAGAAUGCAAAAAAAUAAUCCUAAUUAUCUAAUGUUUCGUAUAUUAUGUUCCAAAUCAAAUUGUUCCUAAGAAAAUAAUCCAUUACUCUGCAAAAUAAGUAAUCGUGCUAUCAAACGAUGAAUCUAAAUAGGUAAUGUAAUUAUAGAGCUAAUCUCCAAUUAUAUGAAGGUAAAAUAGGGGUUGUUCGCAUAAACGCACGCAGGACCGCUCACUCAUCCCCGGCUACUCGAACCGCCGCAGAUAGCCGUGCACUUGAGGGAGAUAAUACCGAAAGGUUUGAAACGAAGGUAUUUCUCGAUAAUUAUGGGAGAACGUAUUAAAAACAGAUACUUUGUGCUACCGAAUUCUUCGUCCAAAUUUCAAUAUUUAAGAAAAACGCUAAUUAAAUAUUACGAAUAUUCUUUAAGUACAUGUCGUGAGUGUUAUGAGAAAUAAUAUCAAAUACAGAAUUCAGCAUUUCUCCUUUCUUAAUAAUAUCGAAUGCUUACUUAAUUUGAAUCGAUGGAAUAAAAAUCACGUGAACGUGGAUUUUCCAUUUCACGUAUAAUUUAAAAGUAUUUCCCUGUUAACAGUGAAUCCUUUGAUCGUCCCUGUAUGUUAAAUUAUUAUGUAUGAUAUACUUCCCUCAGUUUCAUUUCAAUUCCUAUUUGAUCCUGGCCCUGCGUGGAAGGUCGACAAAUCGAUCUCAGUACAGUCGCUUAUAGCCUACAGCUAAAGCCGCUCACGUUUGGAUCCUUUGAAGAAGGUAAAUCCCAACCAUUUCCUCGUACCACCGUUCCAAACUUUAUAAAACAAUGCCAUAUUGGUUUUUCCAAAUUUCGUCGGAAAGACACAAAUGUUCUUUUUCCUUUUUCCGUUUCCUAGGUAUUCUCAAUCACAUAAUGCACGCAAGAGCAGUAGCUAAUGAUGUUCCUUCUUCAGUUCGAAUUUCCAACUUCUUGGACCACUCUUCUGCUUUCACGAUUCAAUGCACUAUAUUAUAAAAGACGAAAUUAAUAUAGAAAAGUGGAUAAGAUACGUGGCUAGUAACUUACAUCUGAUAUUUUCGUACCUCGUGUAUUAAAAUUCAAUAUUGAUGUCGAUGGUUGCUAUAGUAAUGCUAUAGCAAUAGAAACAUGUUGUUUCCAUAAACCAGAUAAUUAGGUGAUUCCCUCACUAACUUGCCUACCAGAUCAUUUGGAAGAUUUGUAAUAAAUUCGUGAGCAGCAUCAGCUUCCUCCUCUGCUUUUAUGAUCUGACACAUUAAAUUACGAAUGACAUGUAACGCAAAAUUCCUUGAAAAAAUAUUAAAACUUUUAUUCCUAUAUUAUUACUUACCUCCUCUCUUUCAUGGAGCAUCUUGCUUCCCAUAUAUAUAAUAUUUUUCAUUACAUUAGUUAAUAAAUAUGUAGGUUCCUGAUUUAUAUACACUACUACAAUAUUCGGGAUAGCUAUAGUUAAGAGACCUAAUGUCCCUCUCAUCAAGAGAAAUACUCGCGUCGUCAUCAUAAAAUCUGUGAAAAUUUAGUAACUGAUUAUAAAACGUACCUAUGAUACAGAUCUUUUAUUUCAUAUUAUACUUUCGAAUAAAAAAUUUAUAUCUUAUCUCCAAAAUAUCUUACCAUUCGAUAAAUACAACAUUGAUUGAUCGACCAUUUAAAUAUAAGAUUAAAAAGGAAAACGGUUUCAUUUCUUAAUCUGUUUGAUGGUCCGACAUUCAUGCUAUCCAUAAACGACCUAUCGUCGGAUAUACGGAAGAGCAAGGACUGCCAAAGUAAAUGUGUUUCAUUUCGAAUGUCGAAUAUUUAAUAAUCAUGCAGUCAAUUGUGCAGCUUUGCAAUAUUUCUAAGCUAUUGAAACUGCUUUCGCUUUCGUUUAACCUGGUAUAUCUCUGAAAUAAUUUACAAUUUGUAGAUUAGUGAAGACAGGAUAGACGUUCAAUUGUUCAUUGAAAUUGUCGAGUCAUCAUAGGUAAAUCGGGUCACGCGCUUCUUAGCGAUAUAAAGUAUCUUUUCCGAGAAGCAACAAAAUAAUAAUUAGGAUGAUAUUGAUGAAGAAAAUUAGUUUCAUUUCCAUAAUAUAGAAUUGAAAUGUUAUAACAAAUCACAUAUUAAUGACUCCUGACAAGUUUACCUUAUACCGAUAACGAACAAAAGACUAGUGAAAACGAAAAAAUUGUACCGUUUGGAUUGCUUGUAAGUUUCCCUUGGGACGAAUGAAGUAUUAUAUAGACGUAUAGACGCUAUUAUUUGUCACUUACUUGCGUAUUACUCGAUCAAAAAUUAUUGAAAGGAUGACUUCCGCAGAGGAGUUCCUCCACCAGACUGCCUCGUCGGAUGACCGAGCUGAUCUGCAAGGCAGGGCUCGAUGGUAGGAGCCAUUACAUUUUAUGCAAGUGCCAAAAAAUAUGGAUUCAGAGAAAAUCAUUGGCUAUAUUUAUUUUCCUUUUCGCGUAAUUCAUUUGAAUGGGCUUUACGCAGUUCAAUCGACACUUCAUAUUCCGCGGUUGAAAGAGCUGAACAUGAUGUGAGUGGGGAGAAC